UGCCGCAUAGACUGAGCUGGACCCAACCAAGCCCCUCCCCUGAGAUCCCCUAGGGCUUGCCUUUCCCGGAGGCUGCUCUUUCCUCAGCAGCCACCUCCCAGCCUGGCCCUGGAUUCCUCUCCUCCUCUCCAGCCCAGCUCUCCUGAGAAGCCUGUUCUUAAGCCCAGUCCAAGGCUGGCCUCUGGAGAAGGGCUUUCCAGAUGUCCCUGAGGUCCCUUCCUCCAGGGCUGUCAGGGCAGUGGGGCCAGGAAACCGCCCUCCUGCCAUGCGCCCAGGAUCUCUGUUGUCUCAUCUGUCUCUGCAGUAGUGUGUUCCCACUAGCCAUUAUGCCAAGUCUUCCACCCUGAACACAUCUGAACAAGUUUCUGCUGCCAAGUAUCUACUGUCUUCUACACUGCAAACGUUCCCCGCAUCAUUGAAUCAUCUUUCUCCACAUGCUUCUGAAUGCCUGCAUGUGGUCAUCCUGCUCUGCUGAGCUUCUGACUCACACCUGCCCCUGCCUUCCUGCUACUUCCACCCAGAGGCCCAAAACACCUCUCAAACUGAGGCCAUCCAGAAUGGAACAGUAACUCUUCAUAUCCCCCUGCCUCCCAAUCCCUCUUCUCUUCGGUUUCCCCAUCUCACCAGAUGUCACCAUAACCCUCCCAGUUGUCCAAGCCAAAAACCUGAGUCCUAAUAGGUCCUUUUUCCCCUCUCAACCCCCAUUCUAAUCCAUAGCAUGUCCCAUCCGUUCCACCUGCAGCCUAAGUCUCCAUCCUCACUGCCCUGCCAUGUCCAGGCCUCACCACCCUCUCUGCAGCAGCUGCUUGUGGUCUCCCUGAGUCCGCCCCCACUCCCCCCACAGCCCAUUCUCCCCACCCCAGCCAGAGUUGUGACUAGAACAUAAAUCCAAUCAUGCCACUCCUCCAUUUAAAACCCCUCCGUGUCUUCCAAC
rnacentral:lncRNA from 10 species